UACGAAGGGGGCUAGCGUUGUUCGGAAUUACUGGGCGUAAAGCGCGUGUAGGCGGGUCUUUAAGUCAGGGGUGAAAUGCCAGGGCUCAACCUUGGAACUGCCUUUGAUACUGGAGACCUUGAGUCCGGGAGAGGUGAGUGGAAUUGCGAGUGUAGAGGUGAAAUUCGUAGAUAUUCGGAAGAACACCAGUGGCGAAGGCGACUUACUGGACACAUAUUGACGCUGAGGUGCGAAAGCGUGGGGAGCAAACAGG
rnacentral:rRNA from 1 species